rnacentral:tRNA from 1 species
GCGAGCGUGGCGGAAUUGGCAGACGCGCCAGGUUUAGGUCCUGGUGUCUUUAGACGUGGAGGUUCGAGUCCUCUCGCUCGCA